AGUGAACGCUGGCCGUAGGCCUAACACAUGCAAGUCGAACGGCAGCACAGUAAGAGCUUGCUCUUACGGGUGGCGAGUGGCGGACGGGUGAGGAAUACAUCGGAAUCUACUUUUUCGUGGGGGAUAACGUAGGGAAACUUACGCUAAUACCGCAUACGACCUACGGGUGAAAGCAGGGGAUCUUCGGACCUUGCGCGAUUGAAUGAGCCGAUGUCGGAUUAGCUAGUUGGCGGGGUAAAGGCCCACCAAGGCGACGAUCCGUAGCUGGUCUGAGAGGAUGAUCAGCCACACUGGAACUGAGACACGGUCCAGACUCCUACGGGAAGCAGCAGUGGGGAAUAUUGGACAAUGGGCGCAAGCCUGAUCCAGCCAUACCGCGUGGGUGAAGAAGGCCUUCGGGUUGUAAAGCCCUUUUGUUGGGAAAGAAAAGCAGCAGGUUAAUACCCCGCUGUUCUGACGGUACCCAAAGAAUAAGCACCGGCUAACUUCGUG
rnacentral:rRNA from 1 species